ACCAUAUCAUGUUGAAACAACGCUUCCUGUACGAUCACCGACGUUAAGCAACGUCGAUCCUGGUCAGUACCUAGAUAGGCGAUCGCUUGGGAGUACCAAAUGCUGUAAG